AAAGAUUCAUGUUUUGGUUUCUGUUCUUUAAACCAGCAGCUAAGGAGAAGUGGCACUAGGGCGUUGCCCAUCAAAGUCCACCUUCUAGCCUCCAGGGGACAGGUAGAAACAGAACAGAUGGCCUGUUGAUUUCCCUUAUAAACAGAUCAUUUAUCACAACACUGGUUCCGUAAUAGCAUUACAAUGGAAACACCAGUUACAAAACC
rnacentral:lncRNA from 1 species